AUUAGAGGCACUGCCACGGGGCUGGGGAGGAAGGGGACCUGCUGCAGGCAGAGAAAUCAGCCCAGGCCCCCUCCAUCCUCCGGACACUCCUGGCAAGUUUGUUUGGUUUUCUUCUUUUUCUUUCUUGUAUAACCGACUUAAGAGAACACUUGCCAAGAAACUGUGGGUUUCAAGCCUAAGGUGUCCUUUCCAGAGAUGAUGGCAUGGAGCAAGGAGCUUACGAAACCCGAUAAGCAGUGUCCAAGCUACCUAUACUUAAGACUGUAGAGGAUAAUGUGUUUAUGGUGGACUCAGAGAGGGUCACAAAGAAGCAACAGAUGCUGCACAUGUACUGAAAUGGAGGCAAYGGAUCAAAAUCAACCUUUCAAAAAGACUCUCCCUGUAGUCAAAAUAGAAGGAGGUGAAGAUACCUCUAUAGUCAGAGUUGGCUCAAGGCUUAUCA
rnacentral:lncRNA from 1 species